AACAAACGCUGGCGGCGUGCCUAACACAUGCAAGUCGUACGAGAAAGUUGGCUUCGGCCAAUGAGUAAAGUGGCGCACGGGUGAGUAACGCGUGGAUAAUCUGCCCUUCAGCGGGGAAUAACCCAUCGAAAGGUGGGCUAAUACCCCAUAACACUGUUUUACAACUGUCAAACAGUCAAAGAGAGCCUCUGCUUGCAAGCUUUUACUGAAGGUUGAGUCCGCGUACCAUUAGCUAGUUGGUAGGGUAAUGGCCUACCAAGGCGACGAUGGUUAGCUGGUCUGAGAGGAUGAUCAGCCACACUGGAACUGAGACACGGUCCAGACUCCUACGGGAGGCAGCAGUGAGGAAUCUUGCGCAAUGGGGGAAACCCUGACGCAGCAACGCCGCGUGAGUGAGGAAGGUCUUCGGGUCGUAAAGCUCUGUCAGGCGGGAAGAAAUGCAUGGAGGUGAACAGCCGCCAUGCUUGACGGUACCGCCAGAGGAAGCACC
rnacentral:rRNA from 1 species